UAGUCCACGCUGUAAACGAUGUCUACUUGGAGGUUGUUGUCUUGAAUGAUGGCUUUCGGAGCUAACGCGUUAAGUAGACCGCCUGGGGAGUACGGCCGCAAGGUUAAAACUCAAAUGAAUUGACGGGGGCCCGCACAAGCGGUGGAGCAUGUGGUUUAAUUCGAUGCAACGCGAAGAACCUUACCUACUCUUGACAUCUACAGAAGCCAGCGGAGACGCAGGUGUGCCUUCGGGAACUGUAAGACAGGUGCUGCAUGGCUGUCGUCAGCUCGUGUUGUGAAAUGUUGGGUUAAGUCCCGCAACGAGCGCAACCCUUAUCCUUGUUUGCCAGCACGUAAUGGUGGGAACUCCAGGGAGACUGCCGGUGAUAAACCGGAGGAAGGUGGGGACGACGUCAAGUCAUCAUGCCCCUUAUGCUCUGGGCUACACACGUGCUACAAUGGCCGUGACAAAGAGUUGCUACUUUGUAAAAACAAGCUAAUCUCAUAAACGCGGCCUCAGUUCGGAUUG
rnacentral:rRNA from 1 species